AGAAUCUUUCGCAAUGCCCGAAAGGGUGACGAAGCGACGCCGCGUGUGGGAAGAAGGCCUUCGGGUUGUAAACCACUGUCGGGAGUUAAGAGAUGUAAGGAUGUUAAUAGCGUCCUUACUUGACUAAGGCUCCGGAGGAAGCCACGGCUAACUCUGCGCCAGCAGCCGCGGUAAUACAGAGGCGGCAAGCGUUGUUCGGAAUUAUUGGGCGUAAAGAGCACGUAGGCGGCCUUGAAAGUCAGUUGUGAAAGCCUUCUGCUUAACGGAAGAACAGCAUCUGAUACUACAGGGCUUGAGUGCGGGAGGGGAGAGUGGAACUUCUGGUGGAGCGGUGAAAUGCGUAGAUAUCAGAAGGAACGCCGGCGGCGAAAGCGGCUCUCUGGCUCGUAACUGACGCUGAGUGUGCGAAAGCUAGGGGAUCAAACGGGAUUAGAUACCCCGGUAGUCCUAGCCGUAAACGAUGGGCACUAAGUAGAGGGGUUUUGAUUAUCUCUCUGCCGGAGCUAACGCAUUAAGUGCCCCGCCUGGGAAGUACGGCCGCAAGGCUAAAACUCAAAAGAAUUGACGGGGGCUCGCACAAGCGGUGGAGCAUGUGGCUUAAUUCGAUGCAACGCGAAGAACCUUACCGGGGUUUGACAUGGUAGAAGUAGGAACCAGAAACGGUAACGAACGGUAUCCAGUCCGUAACUAUCACAGGUGUUGCAUGGCUG
rnacentral:rRNA from 1 species